GACGAACGCUGGCGGCGUGCUUAACACAUGCAAGUCGAACGCUGAAGCUCAGCUUUUGUUGGGUGGAUGAGUGGCGAACGGGUGAGUAACACGUGAGUAACCUGCCUCCUUCUUUGGGAUAACGCCCGGAAACGGGUGCUAAUACUGGAUAUUCACUGGUCUUCGCAUGGGGGUUGGUGGAAAGGGUUUUUCUGGUGGGGGAUGGGCUCGCGGCCUAUCAGCUUGUUGGUGGGGUGAUGGCCUACCAAGGCUUUGACGGGUAGCCGGCCUGAGAGGGUGACCGGGCACAUUGGGACUGAGAUACGGCCCAGACUCCUACGGGGGGCAGCAGUGGGGAAGAUUGCACAAUGGGCGCAAGCCUGAGGCAGCGACGCCGCGUGAGGGAUGGAGGCCUUCGGGUUGUGAACCUCUUUCGCUCAUGGUCAAGCCGCAACAAUGGUUGUGGUGAGGGUAGUGGGUAAAGAAGCGCCGGCUAACUACGUG
rnacentral:rRNA from 1 species